rnacentral:lncRNA from 1 species
CUUCACUAAGAGCUCCUAAUCUUUACAUUUCUUUGACAUACUCUUGUCUCACACGGUAAAUUUGCUUGGAUGAUAUAUUAUUGCAUUUUUUGUUUAUUAUUUGAUUAAAAUAAGAUAGCUAAACAAAAAUUUUAAUGUUGCAAUACAUUAAUUUUUAUUGAUUGUAUAAAAUUGAUGGUACAUAAUAACUGCAAUCUUAAUUUUGGUAUUAAAAUACCUUGAUUUUCUUUUUUUUAAGAAAAAAAUCACUUUUACUGCACUUAAAAAAAAAAACAAUGAAUA